GAUGAAAGCUAGCUACAGGCUUAACACAUGCAAGUCGAGGGGAAACGAUAUUGGAAGCUUGCUUCCGAUAGGCGUCGACCGGCGCACGGGCGAGUAACGCGUAUCCAACCUGCCCACCACUUGGGGAUACCCUUGCGAAAGUAAGACUAAUACCCAAUGAUAUCUCUAGAAGACAUCUGAAAGAGAUUAAAGAUUUAUCGGUGAUGGAUGGGGAUGCGUCUGAUUAGCUUGUUGGCGGGGUAACGGGCCACCAAGGCGACGAUCAGUAGGGGUUAUGAGAGGAAGGUCCCCAACAUUGGAACUGAGAAACGGUCCAAACUCCUACGGGAGGCAGCAGUGAGGAAUAUUGGUCAAUGGGCGAGAGCCUGAACCAGCCAAGUAGCGUGAAGGAUGACGGCCCUAUGGGUUGUAAACUGCUUUUAUAAGGGAAUAAAGUGAGAGUCGUGACUCUUUUUGCAUGUACCUUAUGAAUAAGGACCGGCUAAUUCCGUGCCAGCCGCCGCAGUAAAAC
rnacentral:rRNA from 1 species